UACGUAGGUGGCGAGCGUUGUCCGGAUUUAUUGGGUUUAAAGGGUGCGUAGGCGGCCCUGUAAGUCAGUGCUGAAAUAUCCCAGCUUAACUGGGAGGGUGGCAUUGAUACUGCGGGGCUAGAGUACAGAUGAGGUAGGCGGAAUUGACGGUGUAGCGGUGAAAUGCUUAGAUAUCGUCAAGAACACCUAUAGCGAAGGCAGCUUACUAGGCUGUAACUGACGCUGAGGCACGAAAGUGUGGGGAUCAAACAGG
rnacentral:rRNA from 1 species